UACGUAGGGUCCGAGCGUUGUCCGGAAUUAUUGGGCGUAAAGGGCUCGUAGGCGGUUUGUCGCGUCGGGGAGUGAAAACACGGGGCUUAACCCCGUGCCUGCUUCCGAUACGGGCAGACUAGAGGUAUGCAGGGGAGAACGGAAUUCCUGGUGUAGCGGUGAAAUGCGCAGAUAUCAGGAGGAACACCGGUGGCGAAGGCGGGUCUCUGGGCAAUACUGACGCUGAGGAGCGAAAGCGUGGGGAGCGAACAGG
rnacentral:rRNA from 1 species